rnacentral:rRNA from 1 species
ACAACUUUCAACAACGGAUCUCUUGGCUCCCGCAUCGAUGAAGAACGCAGCA